GCCCCCGUAGCUCAGUGGACAGAGCAGGAGCCUUCUAAGCUCUUGGCCGGGGGUUCGAAUCCCUCCGGGGGCG
rnacentral:tRNA from 1 species